GUGAAUCAUCGAAUUUUUGAACGCAAAUUGCACUCCCUGGUAUUACGGGGAGUAUGCGUGUUUGAGGGUAGUUAGAAUAAAAAAUCGAUGCGUUACUCUUUUUUUUAAGGGGGAUAGUGUCGGAAUUGAGACGUUUUUAAGAUGUUAAUUCAUGUUAAUGUUGACUGAUAUUAAUCCAUCCGGUGCGAUUGAAGUGUAUUUAAGAUAAAUUUUGAUUGAGUACGCGCGAUGAGGUAGUAUUUCACGUAUU
rnacentral:misc_RNA from 1 species